ACUUCUAACUUUGCCUUAUUGCUGUGGAUGAUGCUCCUAACUUGUGCCCUGAAUUGUGCCUGGAAGCUCUUUAAAAUGGGAAGUGGUGCUAUGAAGAUGAGUGCCAUGGUGUGAGAGGUUUCUCAUUCACUUUGCUCACAGCUUGGUGGUCUCCUGGUUGUUACUGCUUCUGUAAAACAGUGCCAAGUGGCCAGAAGGAACCUUUUCUUCUGUCCUCUGCCAUCACCAGCUUCAGUCUUGCAUCUUUGGAAGGGUUGGCUGUUAUCCUUUGCCACGUGGAGGUCUAAGAAACAUAGAAUGCCAAAGAGGGCAGUGGCUUGCAGUGUGCCAUGAGCCGGUUUCUAUGCAGAGCUGAUGCUAACAAAAUCGGAAUGUUUUUCUGCUUUAGUCUUUGUUCGGAGCAGUCGUUAGAAGCUGCUCUCUGGGUGGGGGCACUUGAGAUGGAGCCCUUCUGGGGUGGGCUGUUGGUUGCUGCCUGAUGUCCUCAGCUGUGUGUGCCCGUGGUGCGGAGCAGUUUGUGCCUGGUGGUGCAGCUGUGCUUCGGGGGUGGGGGUGGAGGAGAAGCACCGCAGCCCUCGUGCCGCUCCUCUGAAAUGGGGGCAGAUUACCUGGAGAAACCCGGUGUGGAAUUCACGAUUUCAAAAAACCUUAUAUCACCUCUUUCAACAAAAAAAAAGCACUUAUAGAAAAAGGACGCCCAAAAGUCUGUCGUCCCUGCCUUAUUGCCGAAAAUAGAACCGGGUGAACGAAGACGGCACAAACAAAAGGAGGGGGGACGACCCGCGUGCUCCGCAGCCCCACGUCCUGCAAUGACAGCAACUACAGAGACCGGGGGGCACGGGGGGGG